rnacentral:rRNA from 1 species
GACGAACGCUGGCGGCGUGCUUAACACAUGCAAGUCGAACGGAAAGGCCCUGCUCUUGUGGGGUUCUCGAGUGGCGAACGGGUGAGUAACACGUGAGUAACCUGCCCUUGACUUUGGGAUAACUUCAGGGAACUGGGGCUAAUACCGGAUAGGAUCUCCUGCUGCAUGGUGGGGGUUGGAAAGUGUCGGCGGUUGGGGAUGGACUCGCGGCUUAUCAGCUUGUUGGUGGGGUAGUGGCUUACCAAGGCUUUGACGGGUAGCCGGCCUGAGAGGGUGACCGGCGACCAUGGGACUGCGAGACGGACCAGACUGCUACGGGAGGCAGCAGUCGGGAAUAUGGCACAAUGGGCGGACGCCUGAUGCAGCAACGCCGCGUGCGGGAUGCCGGCCUUCGGGUUGUAAACCGCUUUCGCCUGUGACGAAGCCUGAGUGACGGUAAUGGGUAAAGAAGCACCGGCUAACUACGUG